GCCCUGGCAGCCCCAAAACCCCCUGAGUGAGCCGAAGCAGGAGGCGGGAGAGGGGGGAUCCCCAGGACCCACGGGCCCCCCAGCAGCUCUGAGAAGAGGGACCCCCAUAACCCCAAAGGAAGGACACUGGAAACAGGGAAGCCCUGAGAGAGUGUUUUUGAACUCCUUCUCGAUUUUUGGAGGAUUUUAUGGACACCAGACAGGCGGUGACUUCUGGAGAUGGACUUGAACAGCAGGAACUUCAAAGCCAAUGCACUCACAGAAUGUCUUUCCCACACCAGGAAUUCCCAGUGCCAGACUUUGGCUGGGUAGAGGAGAAGGCUGUGAGGAAGAGGAGGAUGCCCCAGGACCCCCAGGCAGGCAUCUUCCAGAACCAAAUGGUGACUGAGUGGGACAAAAAAUGAAGAUUUUGGAGACAAUGGAGUGGAAACUCCUCUAAAAAGGUUUCUUUCCAGCCACCCAAGCACAUGGAUACUCAGCCAGCAUGGACACGUAAAUCCUUUUAUUUUGACCUUGAUUUUCUUUCGUUGUUCAUUGUUCAUUGUUCUUCAUCCUUUCACCCAACACUGGGGUAAAAAUAAAAACCUUGAUCUAAGA